rnacentral:lncRNA from 1 species
ACAAAAUGAAAUUAGCUUUAAUUUAUGAAAGACAAUGAAUCAUAAAAUAUCAUAUUCCAUAAAGUUAACUUAACAAAGUCUAAACAUAACAUGAAGUACAUCAACAUUAACUAAAAAAAACAUGAACUCUAAGAGUGGCUACCAUGACAUUAUUAUUCAAAGAGUCUUGUGGAUUGAGGACUCUCCUUUCUCUACUUUGGGGUGUUUCUUAGCAGUGUUGUUGCGUGUAUCCUUUUUUAUGUUUCUCAAAAAUUGCUUGUAUAGUGGAUCAAUGUCUUCUUCUUCUUCUAUUUCGAUGCGUAUUAAGUAG